rnacentral:sRNA from 1 species
GGACAAAAUGCUCUGCGGAAAUUCCCUCCUGGCCUCUGACCCACAUCUCCUGUGACGUCAAUGCCUGUGUCCCUGCACCCCAGGCUAUCUCUCAGAGAAGCUGGAGCUCAUGGAACAGCACAGCCAAGACUUCAUCAAGUUCCUCAUCCUCCCCAUGGAACGGAAGAUGAGUCUGCUGAAGCAGGAUGAUCAGCUGGCUGUGACCAGAAGUAUCAAGGAGGGUGAGGCACCUGGCCAAGAGAAUACAGGUGGGCUCCCCAGGGUGCUGCAUCAUCACCAAGAUGCCUAUCUUGAGGGAAGAGGAUGAGAUUGAGCCACGCCCAGUGUUUGAGAAGAAGCCCCUGGUAUGGGAGGAGGAUAUGGAGCUCUAUUCGAAGUUCCUGGACCGGAAGGAGGAGCUCCGGCUCGGCCACGCCAGCUAUCUGCGGCAGCACCCCGAAGCCCACGCGCUCAUCUCCGACUUCCUGCUCUUCCUGCUGCUGCGCCAGCCGGAGGACGUGGUCACCUUCGCCGCCGAGUUCUUCGGCCCCUUCGACCCGUGGCGUCCGUCGUCACCGGCCUUGGGCUCCUCCCACCGGCCCAACCCUUUCCGCUCCCUGGAGCCGGAGGGAGACGCCCGCUCGGGGGCGGCCUAAGCGGGGCCCACGCCCGGACAGGGCAGGAAACCAGGGGUCGGGCUGGGACGCGGGCGGGACUCGCCGGGGCGGGUGCGCUUUCCGGGCUGCGGUUUUGGGGGAAUAAACGGGGCCCUCCCGCGGCUCUGCAGCGCC